rnacentral:rRNA from 1 species
CAGCCGCCACGGUAAUACGUAGGUCCCGAGCGUUGUCCGGAUUUAUUGGGCGUAAAGCGAGCGCAGGCGGUUAGAUAAGUCUGAAGUUAAAGGCCGUGGCUUAACCAUAGUACGCUUUGGAAACUGUUUAACUUGAGUGCAAGAGGGGAGAGUGGAAUUCCAUGUGUAGCGGUGAAAUGCGUAGAUAUAUGGAGGAACACCGGUGGCGAGAGCGGCUCUCUGGCUUGUAACUGACGCUGAGGCUCGAAAGCGUGGGGAGCAAACAGGAUUAGAUACCCCUGUAGUCCCUGUCUCUUAUACA